rnacentral:rRNA from 2 species
GCGGCGUGCCUAAUACAUGCAAGUCGAACGCACUCUCGUUUAGAUUGAAGGAGCUUGCUCCUGAUUGAUAAACAUUUGAGUGAGUGGCGGACGGGUGAGUAACACGUGGGUAACCUGCCCUAAAGUGGGGGAUAACAUUUGGAAACAGAUGCUAAUACCGCAUAAAACCUAACACCGCAUGGUGUAGGGUUGAAAGAUGGUUUCGGCUAUCACUUUAGGAUGGACCCGCGGUGCAUUAGUUAGUUGGUGAGGUAAAGGCUCACCAAGACCGUGAUGCAUAGCCGACCUGAGAGGGUAAUCGGCCACACUGGGACUGAGACACGGCCCAGACUCCUACGGGAGGCAGCAGUAGGGAAUCUUCCACAAUGGACGAAAGUCUGAUGGAGCAACGCCGCGUGAGUGAAGAAGGUUUUCGGAUCGUAAAACUCUGUUGUUGGAGAAGAAUGUAUCUGAUAGUAACUGAUCAGGUAGUGACGGUAUCCAACCAGAAAGCCACGGCUAACUACGUGCCAGCAGCCGCGGUAAUACGUAGGUGGCAAGCGUUGUCCGGAUUUAUUGGGCGUAAAGCGAGCGCAGGCGGUUUCUUAAGUCUGAUGUGAAAGCCUUCGGCUCAACCGAAGAAGUGCAUCGGAAACUGGGAAACUUGAGUGCAGAAGAGGACAGUGGAACUCCAUGUGUAGCGGUGAAAUGCGUAGAUAUAUGGAAGAACACCAGUGGCGAAGGCGGCUGUCUGGUCUGUAACUGACGCUGAGGCUCGAAAGCAUGGGUAGCAAACAGGAUUAGAUACCCUGGUAGUCCAUGCCGUAAACGAUGAGUGCUAGGUGUUGGAGGGUUUCCGCCCUUCAGUGCCGCAGCUAACGCAUUAAGCACUCCGCCUGGGGAGUACGACCGCAAGGUUGAAACUCAAAGGAAUUGACGGGGGCCCGCACAAGCGGUGGAGCAUGUGGUUUAAUUCGAAGCAACGCGAAGAACCUUACCAGGUCUUGACAUCCUUUGACCACUCUAGAGAUAGAGCUUUCCCUUCGGGGACAAAGUGACAGGUGGUGCAUGGUUGUCGUCAGCUCGUGUCGUGAGAUGUUGGGUUAAGUCCCGCAACGAGCGCAACCCUUAUUACUAGUUGCCAGCAUUUAGUUGGGCACUCUAGUGAGACUGCCGGUGACAAACCGGAGGAAGGUGGGGACGACGUCAAAUCAUCAUGCCCCUUAUGACCUGGGCUACACACGUGCUACAAUGGAUGGUACAACGAGUUGCGAGACCGCGAGGUUUAGCUAAUCUCUUAAAACCAUUCUCAGUUCGGAUUGUAGGCUGCAACUCGCCUACAUGAAGCCGGAAUCGCUAGUAAUCGCGGAUCAGCAUGCCGCGGUGAAUACGUUCCCGGGUC